rnacentral:tRNA from 1 species
GGGCAGGUAGCUCAGUCGGUAGAGCACUGGUCUGAAAAACCAGGGGUCGGCAGUUCGAUUCUGCCCCUGCCCA